rnacentral:rRNA from 1 species
UACGUAGGGUGCGAGCGUUGUCCGGAUUUAUUGGGCGUAAAGAGCUCGUAGGCGGUUUGUCGCGUCGGCCGUGAAAUCUCCACGCUUAACGUGGAGCGUGCGGUCGAUACGGGCAGACUUGAGUUCGGUAGGGGAGACUGGAAUUCCUGGUGUAGCGGUGAAAUGCGCAGAUAUCAGGAGGAACACCGGUGGCGAAGGCGGGUCUCUGGGCAGAUACUGACGCUGAGGAGCGAAAGCGUGGGGAGCGAAAAGG